AUUGAACGCUGGCGGCAGGCCUAACACAUGCAAGUCGAGCGGAUGAAGGGAGCUUGCUCCUGGAUUCAGCGGCGGACGGGUGAGUAAUGCCUAGGAAUCUGCCUGGUAGUGGGGGAUAACGUCCGGAAACGGGCGCUAAUACCGCAUACGUCCUGAGGGAGAAAGUGGGGGAUCUUCGGACCUCACGCUAUCAGAUGAGCCUAGGUCGGAUUAGCUAGUUGGUGGGGUAAAGGCCUACCAAGGCGACGAUCCGUAACUGGUCUGAGAGGAUGAUCAGUCACACUGGAACUGAGAAACGGUCCAGACUCCUACGGGAGGCAGCAGUGGGGAAUAUUAGACAAUGGGCGAAAGCCUGAUCCAGCCAAGCCGCGUGUGUGAAGAAGGUCUUCGGAUUGUAAAGCACUUUAAGUUGGGAGGAAGGGCAGUAAGUUAAUACCUUGCUGUUUUGACGUUACCAACAGAAUAAGCACCGGCUAACUUCGUG
rnacentral:rRNA from 1 species